AAAAGAAAAAGAAAAAGAAAUCGCAAAUGGCUCUAUUUCUAUCGAUCUAAUUUUUGCAAUUUUAAAAGAACGCAUUCCCUCUCUCUCUCUCUCUCUUAUUUGCGAAGCAAGGAAAUAUAUGAUCGUCUUGAAUCGUUCGUUCGAGGCUCGAGGCUGAGCCUUCUGAGGAACUUACGCUCCAAUUCGCGCGAGCCGGGUCACGGGGUCGUUAUUACACGCGAGCUUACGAAUGUGAGGAAGGCGGAAGAGAGUAGGAACAACGCGUCUAUGCGACGCCAACGAUAGUAACUAUCUCUCUAAGAGAAGAGAGUCGUGGAUCCAAAGUGACGCUGUACUCGAAGAAUAUUUAUUUUGUGUCUUUUGAUCGCGUUUUCCUCGUCGUCGACGUUAUACGCCAGUUGCCGAGGAGUCAAACACAUUUCCAAGAUAAAUUCUAGUAGUCUAGUAGAGGAAAAAAAGCGUCAAAGCGGACUACCACAGCGUUACUACAUGGAAAAAGUUUACAAUCGGAUAGUCCUCGCGGAAACACUUCGUGUCCAAAACAUUGAAGUAGAGGAACCCGAUCUUACUAGCAAUUUUGUCACCCGAACGCUGGAGGCAGUCAUAGAACUUCUCGUCGCAGGAACAAUGCAACCUUACGCCACCGUCGUUGGUCACCGGAGGAACGGUGAAGGGUUAAAUUAUUGAAUAUCGAUAAAGGGAGGACUUGGAAUACGCGCGACAACCUCUCAUAUCCCGUGGGAGAACAACCCAUCAAAAUUGUCGUUAUUCGAAGAAGGAAAGGAAAAAUCGGAAAUAAUCAGAAAAUCAAUGGCCGACUAUAAUAAAUGUUGAAACAAACGUAGCUAAUCACGAUGUAAUGGCCAAUAACUUUUGGCUUCUCUACCGGGGCCGAAAAAGAGGACAAAAACAAAAGGAAUAAAAAAAAAAAAGGAAUUAAAAAAGAUUAAUCCUUUGUUUAUGACACUCAAAUUGUAUCUGCUAGCGAUCACUAUGCCCGAGUUUCAUUGCGAUUCAUUUAUUCCAGUUCGUUGGAACGAACUAAUAAAGGAUGCAACGUAGACGACACGUCGCUGCGUCUGCACGCGUGUAAACGACACGCGUAAUGAUGACACGAGCGGUAGAAUAUGGAAGCAAUAAAAGUAACGUCGCUCGAUAAUCCACGGGAUGUGUGGACGACAAGCAAACAAUAUAGUGGAUACGUAUAGUACGUAUACAGGUUAAACUCGUUAAUCAAUCAUUAAUACAUUUUUUAAGAAAGUACGAAUAAAAAUAACUCGUUGGAAUAUGAUCAAAAUCAUAAGUACGAAAGAAGAAGAUUCGAC